CCCCGAUCGACCAUGAAGAGGAUCAUGACGAUGGCGGUGACGUGCAGCAGGGUGACAUUACCCCCUGUCAGCAGGAAGGUGCCCGCCAGCAGCGAGGAGGCGUAGGGACAGGGCAGCCCCCGAGGACGGAGGAGAGCCCCGCCACCAAAUUGGCCACGGAGAGCCCGUUAGCAGCGUUUUUCCGGAUGAACUCCAGGGUCUGACCCUGGCCAGCUCGCUCUCUCAGGAACAGCUUCUUCGUGGACUGGAAAAUACCUGCAACCCGCCGAGGUAGCCGGUGAAGGGCGGAACCGAUGGCCACUUUCCAACUGGGGAGUUACUUAAACCCUCCCCGAGGUAGCAGGUCGGUGCUGGGGGGGGGACGACAAAGCCCCACAGCACACACCCCCCCUUCCAGCGCUGGAAAGGGGCUGGAGGAGAUUUUGGGGGGUGCUGCUGAUGGCAGGAGCCUUGCUGGCUGUUCCCCUCCUCAAACCAAAACCCCCAAAAGCCUUUUAGCAAGCGGUGGGAUAUUUUGGGGGAUGUUUUGGUUUGGGUUUUUUUGCAAGCCCUGCCUCUUAUCUACCCGCCGGAGAUGAAAAUAAAACCAAUAAAAGAAUCACAAAAAUAAGAAAAAAAGAAGAAAAAUAAAUCCAAACCCAAGCUUAGACUAAAA